CUCCCUGGACUUUCCCUAGGUUCCGUGGUUCCCUGUUCUGUGGUCUCACUCUUCCCCUUCUCUUCCUUCUAACUCUGAGGUUAUGCAUUCACUUAACCUUGCCUCUGGU
ensembl:misc_RNA predicted gene, 27505